rnacentral:rRNA from 1 species
GCCAUCAGGUCAUGCUGGGGACUCUAACAAAACUGCCCGCGUAAGCGUGGAGGAAGUGGGGAUGACGUCAAAUCAGCACGGCCCUUACGUCCAGGGCUACACACGUGCUACAAUGGCCGGUACAGAGGGCAGCCACUUGGUGACAAGGAGCAAAUCUCAAGAGCCGGUCUCAGUUCGGAUCGGAGUCUGCAACUCGACUCCGUGAAGUUGGAUUCGCUAGUAAUCGUAGAUCAGCAAUGCUACGGUGAAUACGUUCCCGGGCCUU